UCUGUUCUCUCUGUUACCCAUUAUUGCUGACGAAGGCUUCUCCUAGGGUUUUCGCUACCUAUAUCUUGCAAGAGGAAGCAGGCGACACCAAGAGAUUCUCUGUGCAACUUCUUUUUCCCACACCAAUCGGCGACAUGUAAGGAGUCUUUAGCUCAAAAUGGUAGAGCACCUGGGAUAAUGCCCAGGUUAUGGUGGUUCGAAUCCACCAAGACUCUUCUUCAACAGUUUAAUUUUAAUAUUUCCCUUGACAAUGAUAAUUAAAUGACAUGAGUUGUGUAGUGUGGUGUAAAAGUAAACCCUUGUGUGUUACGUGAUUGUCCCUAAUCUGGAUCCUCUAUUUGUUAGGAGACUGAAUCCUUAUUGUUUGAAUAAGAAUCCCAAGGGAAAGCUGGGUUCAAGGC